UAUCAUUCAUUCGACGGUUACUCUUAUCAUUCAAUUUCAAAGACGUUUGUUUUCUUCUUAGUGAAACCGAUCUCUCAUAAAUCCCACGUUUGAGAACCAUCCAACUCAGAGGAUGUUUCAUAAUGCUUUCAACCAAGGGGUUUGUGCAUUUUAUGAUGCGAUUUUACAAGCCGAUCGUCAUUCCAAAUAAUCCCAGGUCUCCCAAGCAAAACCAAAUUAUCAGGUAUAUGAUUAUCAACUGGCUAACUGAAAUUGCCCAAGGAAACCAUGCCAGAUUCAGUCCAUACUCUUUCAUUGUUUUCAAAUGGGUUCCCAGAUUGUCAACAGCCCUUCCAAGAAUCCGGCGAAAACAUACAAAACCUUCUCCCAUAUUGGAGGCCUAAGAAGGCACAAAAUGGAUGACUGGCGUUCGAAUCUCAAAAAAGUGGAAUGAACUAGAUUUCAUGGGGGGUAACGAGGUCACCAGCCUGGACGUCUUUAUUUUCUAUGAUGCCUAUUCAACUCUAUAAUGCAUGUAACCAAUUGAAUUUUUGUCAAAGAGAGCACAAAUCGAAUUUUGGAUACCAGCAGGUGGCACUAUUUGGGAUGCAACAACUGCACGACUAAAAUGGUUGGUGAAGAAGGAGACCGUGGAUGCACCAAGUAUUGAGGAACCUGUAUCACGUUGUGUUACUACUUACUGUGGCAUAUAAUUAAUUUUCGUUUGACCAUAGCAGACAACACUAUAUUUGCUGCCCUGGAGAGUGAAGUCCAGCGUAUUGUCCACGCCACUGCCUCAGACGUAUUUAUGAUGGAGGAGGUAUGCCACCAUCUGUUUUUAUCUUUACUUAAUUAGGCAUUCUUGAGUCAGUUAAAAAAAUACUGAAUAAGUCAUCUUUAAGUCGGUUAAUCAAACUCGAUUGUGUGUACAUUUAAGUUCCAAAGUACCGGUGUUUUGCAAUGAUGUAAUCAAACUUCAUGAUAUAAUAGCCAGCCGGAAAAGGGAAAAUGUAAGGUGGUUGCAGCUUUUAAAAAAGAUCUUGAUUGUUGAGAUGGACCACCCAUCACUGCGUUCAACAAGAAGAAGCAAACACUCCCAGCUACACAGUUACAAGGUUUUCUUAACUUUUGGAAGCCCCAACUGUCCCUCCCUCGGGUCCCUUGCUCACAACUGCCAAGGAUUAAACUGAUCCAGAUACGAGACCAAGUAGAUCCAGUUAGUGUGUAAUAACUAAUAUGUCUGCCUCUACUGUGCUCUUCAGUGAUGAAGUUUGAAGAGAGAGACUUUGGGCGGUAAUAGAUGCAUCAUGAAGCAUAUGAAUAUCUAGAUGUGUUGUCGCUCUUUUUUUUGGUUGUUUUUGUAGUGUUUCUAUUUCUGCAGUUUAUGUUGUAUUCCUACAACUACAAGAUGUUCUGUUACACUCUUUUUAUCAAAUGUUUACAGCUCAUAUUUCGAGGAGAGUCAUGGUUUACUCAUUUAAAGGACA